UACGGGGGGGCAAGCGUUGUUCGGAAUUACUGGGCGUAAAGGCUCGUAGGUGGCCAACUAAGUCAGACGUGAAAUCCCUCGGCUUAACCGGGGAACUGCGUCUGAUACUGGAUGGCUUGAGAUUGGGAGAGGGAUGCGGAAUUCCAGGUGUAGCGGUGAAAUGCGUAGAUAUCUGGAGGAACACCGGUGGCGAAGGCGGCAUCCUGGACCAACACUGACGCUGAGGAGCGAAAGCCAGGGAGCAAACGGG
rnacentral:rRNA from 1 species